rnacentral:misc_RNA from 1 species
AAAAAGUGCAAUAUGUUGCGAUGCUUACAAGUUCCUCUACUUUCUCAACAGUUAAAGGUAAUACUUCUAAAGAACAAGAUGGUAUUUUGCCUUUAGUAAUGUUCCUAAGUUGCCUAUUGGGAAUCUUAGAUUAUCUGCUAAUCUGACAAGUAAACAAUUUAAUGAGAUGAGGGAAAAAGGAUGUGUUUUUGGUGUGAUGAGAAAUUUUCUCUAGGUCACAAAUGUAAAAAGUGGCAGGCAUUUGUAAUG